UACGUAGGGUGCGAGCGUUAAUCGGAAUUACUGGGCGUAAAGCGUGCGCAGGCGGUGAUGCAAGACAGAUGUGAAAUCCCCGGGCUCAACCUGGGAACUGCAUUUGUGACUGCAUCGCUGGAGUGCGGCAGAGGGGGAUGGAAUUCCGCGUGUAGCAGUGAAAUGCGUAGAUAUGCGGAGGAACACCGAUGGCGAAGGCAAUCCCCUGGGCCUGCACUGACGCUCAUGCACGAAAGCGCGGGGAGCAAACAGG
rnacentral:rRNA from 1 species